GUUCAUUAUCAUCACACAAACACAUCUCUUCGAUACGCUGCGAUUCAUUAAUUGAACUAUGAAUCGAAGGUUAUGGUGUGUGAUUACUGUACUUUCUGUCGUUGCUCUUGUAUUUGUAAUGUCAACGAAUUAUAAGGACUUACUUGUCAGAAAACUAGGGGGAAGGAAAGGCUUACGCCGAAUACGACAAUAUGGGAUCAGAAAUGAGGAUAAACUUAAUCGUGAACUGUAUGACGGUGUGGAAAGUUUUCUAAUGUUCAUCGGCUAUCCUCGCAGUGGCCACACCCUGGUCAGCUCCUUGUUAGACGCUCAUCCUAACGCCUUGGUUGCAAAUGAGUUUGAUGUAAUUGGUGAAUGGCAAAAGUGGACUAAAACCAACAGAAACAAGUAUUACCUAUUUGACCAGCUGUACCUGAACUCUAAAAUGGAAGCUGAUACCGGUUACCGAUCGGCCACGGUCCCACAUCGGUUCAAUUAUUCAGUGCCAGGCCAAUGGCAGGGAACAUUUAAUCAGAAGAUUUUGGUAAUGGGAGCUAAGAAGGGUGGUCAUACAACCAGACGACUUAUGAAACGAGAGAACCUGAAAGUACUAAAAGAAAUUCACCAAGUUCUCAAACUCCCGAUGAAGUUUCUUCAUGUCAUCCGAAAUCCUUACGACAACAUUGCAACCAUGAUGCUAAGAGAUCUGAAAAAGAGACCGGACGCCGGAGAGAAGAUCAAUGAUACCGAUAAUUUGGAUAAACAAAUAGCAAAAUACAUGGCUUUGGCGGCAAAAAACAAUCAACUAAAGAAAGUUCUCCCUGGGGAAGUUCAUGAGAUCCACAGUUCAGAGCUGAUCAAAGAACCAAAGAAAAUUCUGCUGGGAAUUUGUCACUUUUUACACCUCACUUGCUAUCAGAAAUAUAUCGAGGAUUGUUCUAAGAGAAUAUAUCCAGAGGCCAGUAAAACGCGUUACAAUGUGAUUUGGACAGAUCAGCAAAAGGAAACGGUUAGAAAAGAACUGCAAAGAUUUCAAUCCACAAGAGGCUAUGGUUUUGACGAUUGAAUUUUCUUCUAAGGCCUUUACUAGCAUCCACAGGAUUUGGUCGACCAUCCAACCAAAGAAAAUUGACCACAAUGGACAAAUUUUAAAAUAUUUGUUCCACAUGAGAACAACUCUCCGUGCCUCAAUGGUGCGUGACCUUCUUCCCCUAUCCCAGUCCACUGGGGAAUUUUCACUGCGGCUCGUAUGGGUCGGGGAUCUGUGCAUGAUAGCACGACACACUGUGCAAAGGUUGAUUCCCAGUCUGGCUUUCCAGAGAAAGCAAGAGGCGGCUCAGCUGUUAGCCCUUGUCGAUCUGCAAAAAGACAGGAAAUCCUGGUCGCAGGUCGAUUCGGAUGGAUACUACACUCUGCUGUACGAAUCUACAGUUAUGAAUGUAGUUUAUUAACAAAGCACUGUUAACACGACGCAGCAUGUAUCUUGUCUCCAGUUCAGUUUCUUUUUAUUUUCCUAGCACCGCCAAAACAACUGGCAAGUUGAUUUCGUAAAAGGACACAUUUAACACAAGCUGCGGUUGAAAAAAAUAUUAACACUUUUAAGAAAAAUUAUUCAAAAGAUGCGAUGAACUCUGUGACGACCUUCUUGAGCUUAGCAUCUGUGUCUUCUGAGAUGACACCCUCCUUCCUGAUGGUCUCGAUAAGAUCCUUCUGUGAUGUGCGGAUGUGUUUCAGGAAAGCUUCUUCAAACGCUGUGAUGCGGGAAGGGUCCACCUUAUCAAGAUGACCCCUAACGCCAGCAUAGAUCACGGCCACUUGCUCUGCGAUUUCCAUUGGCACUGCCAGAAAGAAAACGGCUAAUAAGUAACAGGAAAAUGAAUUUACAAAGACCCCCACGGCAAGGGCACUAAUGUCUUACACACUGAAUGUAGAAAAUAAAAUACUAUAAAAGGGUGCAUACAUCAGCUAGACCUUUCAGUCACUUACCGUACUGUCCUUGCUUAAGAAGUUCAGUGAGACGGACACCUCGGUUGAGGAGGGACUGAGUAGCAGCAUCCAGAUCAGAACCAAACUGAGCAAAAGCUGCCACUUCACGAUACUGUGCAAGCUCAAGUUUCAUGGAUCCAGCAACCUGAUGGACAGAAAAAUAACUUUAAAUUGUUGUGGACAACUCUAACAAAGGUCAAAGGUUUUAAGAUUGAAAUAAAAUCAGUGUUUCUUUAUAUUCAGCUUGGUGGUGAUGAUGAUGGGGUUGGCUGACACAAUUCCUUUGGUUUGCUCAGUUUUUCAACAGAGUAAAUAGUCUGCACUUUGUGAACCAAGCCAACUGAUAAAAGGCCGAGCCAUCCAGUGUAGGUUAUUACCCACUUGUAGCCUUUUAGUAAAAUACCAAAGAUCCUUAGUAAACUCAUGACCUCUAAAAAAUCCUUGAUGAUUGAAAUUAAAAUAAACAUAAUAACAGUGAUACAUAUAAUAAUAAACAAAAAUAAUAAUAAUAGUGAUGAUGA